rnacentral:lncRNA from 1 species
UGAGAAGCCUAGAAGUCGGUGUCUAAUGGAUGUUACUAAGUUAAUUUUGCCACCGACUUCUAGGCCGAUGCACCUAAAAUUAGUUUUUUUUUUGCUUUUUAGUGUUUUGGGAAGUCGGUUUAAUUUUUUUUGUACAAAGGUUAUUUAUUUAAAGCUUUUCAGUGAUACGAAUAGUUGUCAAUAUCCAUACAAGUGGGAAGUUCUCAUCAAUACAAAGAAUAUAAGUCCAAACGAGGUAUUUUACAUAUUCAGUUGCCGAGUUCCCUCGACUCUCUCUGGUCUCCAUCAUCAGGUCAGCUCCAAACCUUCACUGUUGCAUAGGUCUUGUCAAUACGAAUAAUUUAAGCCCAAACAUGAGGUAGUUUACAUAUUCAGUUGUCGAGUUCCCUCGACCCUCUCUGGUCUCCAUCAUCAAGUCAGCUCCAAAUCUUCACAGUUGAAUAGUGCUUUUAGGCGUACACCUAAGUGUCAAGUUUUUACCCUAUGUAUGCCUACAACUUUUGAAGGUUGCCCUCGAUUUCUCAGGGUUCCCAUCAUCAGAUCCUGACCUGAUGACUAUGGGACCAACUGGCAGCUAUUCCAAGUCGAACAAAAAAAGAAUCACGUAAAUCGGUCUAUAAACCUCGGAGUAAUCGAUGUGUAUGUGUAACCUCCUCCUUUUUGGGAAGUCGGUUAAAAAUGGAAUAAUUUUAUCAAAUUAGUGUAUUGUCAUCGGUCCUCAAUAAAUCUACAAAGUUUGAACGAAAUCUGGCCGUUUAAAGUGGGUCAAAAUCGCGCCCAAGGAAGUCGGUUACAAACAAACAUACAGGUGAAGCUAAUAAAAAGCGUGUAAAAA